UACGUAGGGGGCAAGCGUUGUCCGGAAUCAUUGGGCGUAAAGCGCGUGUAGGCGGCCCGAUAAGUCCGCUGUGAAAGUCCAGGGCUCAACCCUGGGAUGCCGGUGGAUACUGUCGAGCUAGAGUCCGGAAGGGGCGAGUGGAAUUCCUGGUGUAGCGGUGAAAUGCGCAGAUAUCAGGAGGAACACCAAUGGCGAAGGCAGCUCGCUGGGACGUGACUGACGCUGAGACGCGAAAGCGUGGGGAGCAAACAGG
rnacentral:rRNA from 1 species